UACGUAGGGUCCGAGCGUUGUCCGGAAUUACUGGGCGUAAAGAGCUCGUAGGUGGUUUGUCGCGUUGUUCGUGAAAACUCACAGCUUAACUGUGGGCGUGCGGGCGAUACGGGCAGACUGGAGUACUGCAGGGGAGACUGGAAUUCCUGGUGUAGCGGUGGAAUGCGCAGAUAUCAGGAAGAACACCUAUGGCGAAGGCAGCACUCUGGGACGGUACUGACGCUGAGACGCGAAAGCGUGGGGAGCGAACAGG
rnacentral:rRNA from 1 species